UCCCUGGUGGUCCAGUGGUUAGGAUUCCGGGCUUGCACUGCCGGGGGGCCCAGGUUCGAUCCCUGGUUGGGGAA